AAGGCACGGCGAUAAGCCGAGUUCUGUCGUGAGUGAUUAUUUAUCUAAUCCAAAUUUCGCAAUUUGGCUCUAGCGAAGGGUUUAACAUAAGACUAAAACCAUCCCUUCUUGCUGCAAGUCGGGUUUAUAUAGCCGCCAUGCUUUCGCGUGGCGCUGGUGGGCUCUUACCCCGCCGUUUCACCAUCACCGCCGAAGCGGCAGUCUGCUUUCUGUUACACUAUCCCUUAGGUUUCCCUAGCCAUCCGUUAGAUGGGACUUUGUCUUAUAGCAGCUCGGACUUUCCUCUUUUAAACCGAAAUUUAAAAGCAAUCACUUGCCGUGCCGA
rnacentral:RNase_P_RNA from 2 species